CCCUUAGAUGUUCUGGGCCGCACGCGCGCUACACUGAUGCAUUCAACGAGUCUAAAACCUGCUCUGAUAGGGGUGGGUAAUCUUUUGAAUGUGCAUCGUGAUUGGGAUAGAUGAUUGCAAUUUUUCAUCUUCAACGAGGAAUGCCUAGUAAACGCAAGUCAUCAGCUUGCAUUGAUUACGUCCCUGCCCUUUGUACACACCGCCCGUCGCUCCUACCGAUUGAAUGAUCCGAUGAAUAUCAUGGAUUGAGGAUGCAAGUAGGUUAGCCUAUCUUCAUCUUCGAGAAGUGAAGUAAAUCUUAUCAUUGAGAGGAAGGAGAAGUCGUAACA
rnacentral:rRNA from 1 species